CGGCCCAAGAUUCACCGUCCAUUCCCAAUAGGUUUUGGUGCGAAGGCAUCGAAAGCUCACGAAAAGACACGAUGUAAAUGUAGGAUAUGUGCCUCCCUAGGUUACUGAGCGUACAGGCAUGAAUAAAGAGGAGAUCCUAUGUCAUUUCUUUCAGCUUGGAACACGAGAAUUGGAUUUACCCACUCCCUUUGCAAGUUGUUUUCUAGCUUCAUGCACUAUCCAUCACACUUGUACCAGAAACGCGAGAACAAAAGCAGACCAAGUCGAUGGGUUCCAAACUUAAAAAAGACUGUUCAACAUUUUGAUGCUGGUCAGGAGCCAGUCUGUUACUUGUUUGAACUUAGCACAGCUGAAAACCUGCUGGACUGUACAGAAAACACCCAAAAAUCUGUGUCUCGUGCUCUUGCGUGGAGGUACCAAAAAUCUCCACUAACAGCUGGCUUUCUUCCAAUUGCUUCUCUUUGCAAAUCCCCGAUUAGAGGAGGAAUAAAACACCCUUAAGACAGUGAAAGGCUGAACUCUCAACCAGUGAAUGAGAGAGAGAGAAAAAUCAGUAUGCAAACAAUCUUUUGUCAACAGCUGAAUUGAAAGGAAGAGAAAAAAUGCCACUCAUUGAAAACAGUAGUCCAGAUUAAUGCUAUUGAACGGUGUUUUCCUGAUCAUUUGAACUGUUAACCCUGUUUUUUAU